UCCAACUUCGUCUUCGCACGUGGUCAGUGAAGUAUCGUCUAAAACUGGCAAAGCCAAGAAGAUCAUGAGUAAUGCUCUGGCUACGAGCACUUUGAAGAAACCGCUACCUUCAAAGCUAGCGGGACAAAAAUCGUCGUCGGUUAGCGUUGAGUCUAUAGAGCAAAGAUUAUAGAGAAGGAAGAUGGGAAACGAAGCGACUACACUUACGCGAGCGCCACCCGGUGGUUCCGUUGUGUAUUAAAAUACUAAGACUGGUUAAAAUAUUUCUUGAAGGGCCAUUUGCAGAACAUAAUUUGAACUUCGCACAUGGUCGUUUUGCUUAUGUUUUGGUUUUGAAUAUCGUACCCCUAGCGCUCGGCUUUACCUCGCCCGUUGCCUAAAUUUGUUAUUUGUGUUUUUUAUUCAGUGAAAGUUCAAAAUCAAAGAAAAAUGUCCUACGGAAAAUACUGUAUGGUAAAGAAUUGCGGAAACUGCAGUUUAAGGGAUUCUUCGAAUGUCAGUUUUUUAAACUUAUCAAAGAAAAUGGAAACGUAAGUAUUGAAACUCGUACCAUGUGACUCGUAUGUAGAUUGACCGAUAAAUUUUUAUGUUUAGUGCUAUGAAGUGGAUAGAAUUCUCUGGGCGUAAAGACAUUGACUUGAGAAAAUGCUACAGCAUGUGCAGUGAGCAUUUUGUUGCAAGCCAAUUCAAAGCCUUCUAUCCACGUAAGUUAUGGUAUGCAGGAAGCAUCCCGUGCAUGAACGGGCCACCAAAUGAACCGCAUGCGAUGGAGAGCGAGCAGUUUGAAAGUGAUACAUCAAAUAUUGAUGGUAAGUCUUCCUAGAUAUCUGCAAUGCAUUACUGAAUGCAUCGCAAUAUUCGCAAUGCAUUAUCGAAUGCAUUUCUCAUUUUCAUAUAUUGCAUGCUUUUGUUUUUCUUAUACAGGAAGCAUCCUUUCAUGGAGGAACCACAUGUUAUGGAAAGCGAGCACAUAGAAAGUGUGACGUCAAGUACUGAUGGUAAGUGUUCCUAGAUAUCUGCAAUGCAUUACUGAAUACAUUACUCAUUUAUAUCCUACAUUGAAUGCAUAUUUUUUUCUUAUACAGGAAGCAUUCCUUUCAUGGAGGGGCCACAUGAAAUGGAAACUGAUCAAGUUGAAAAUGUUACAACAAACACUGAUGAUAUUCCUUUGAGUAUACGGCAAAGACGUUCUCACACACUGAAAAGUACUUCAAAGUCCUUCCCCAAAAGAGAUAGAAAUAUCCGAAAAAUGAAAACAACAAUAAACUCCUUGCGAUGCAAAAUAUAUAGAAGAAAAGUGCAGCAUUGCUUCUGCAAAGGUAAGCCACUUAUAUCCAGCAAUAAAGGUACAAAAGGUACAAUACUUAAAUUGAUUAAGGAAUCAAAAAGUUUUCUCUCUAAGGAGGCACAUAUUGUAUUUUCUAAUGAAUUACGAGCAAACUUUAUUAAUAAACGCAAUCGUAGAUAUGACGACAAUUUGAGAGAAAUGUGUCUCCUAUGGUAUUAUGCCUCACCUAAACACAUAAGGCAAUAGCCAAAUAUUUAAACUUACCAACUCCGAGAACAUUAAGAAACUGGCAGUUCCAAUUGAAAAUUUCACCUGGAAUUAUCAAGCAAUUAUAGAGUCUUUGAGGUUGCAUUUCCCAAACACU